GAUUUCUUAUAUUUCAGGAUGUCUGGUCAUACAAAGCCAUUGAUAUUCCUGAUGUACGGAUUUUUACAAUAAAUCAUCGUGGAGAGCUGAAACAGGAAUCUUCCUACACAUUUCAGUCCUCGUACUACAGUCUGUCAGAGAUUGCUGACCAUUUCUUUCCUCCGCGGGAACGCUUAGGGGUGUACGACAAUCACUUCAGCACUGUCAAGUACUGGAAAGACCCCCUACCCCCGGUGACAGAGACUGAGAUACUGGAGAUAGACAAAGACGACCCGGCCGCUAAAUGACAACCACCGUCCGCAGACAAGCAGUCCGUCUCUGUUCCAGUAGAUCCGACAUUGUCGCGCUCCGACAGCAUUCUCCAGAGUGAUAAUAGCUACGACCUCCUGGAAACGUUUUCAGAGAGUGAGACAGAAGAAGACAUUAGGCUAACGCAGGCCUUGGAGCCGAGACAGGAAUUUCAGAAAACUGGGAAGUACUGGCUAAUGCCUUUCAGUUUCUACAUGUAAGAAAACAAAAGACUUCCAAAAUUGUCAAAUUUUCAAAAUUUUAUUUUAAGGUUUUAAUAGUUUUCAGUUUUUUUUAAAAAUAAAAAUUAGAAUUUUUUUCAAAACUCUGAUGGAUAAAUUUGUUGGCAGUUUGGUGCAGAAUAAUUGAGUAUGGCUGAUAGUUAGGAUUUUUUACCAAACUUUUGUUAGUUUGAGUUGAUCUCUUUUUGUUACAAUUUACGUAAAUUUCCCCUUCAGUGUUCAAAUUACCCCCUUUAGUUGUAUUUUCCCAUUCCCCCGAGGAAACCCUGUUUGUCUGUGGUACUAUGCUGAAUUACUGUGUUCUGUUGUUUAAAGUAAGGAAGCACGGGAACAAAAUCAUGUUUAUAUACUUAUAUAUUUGUUACAGUUUUUACAUUUAUAUUUGUUUUCAUCAAUCAGCAGAAUGUUCAGUUUUGAGAAAUUUGCUGCUAGAAGAAAGAUUGUGAAAUAAUUUAAAUAAAGGCAGCAAAAUGUGAUUACUCUGUGUUGAUACUAUUACAUGUGAUUCAUUGUGUGUGUAUCAAAGACUGUAUUGUUUUGAAAUCUGUCAGAAAUUUAAGCAUAAUACAGUCAGUCAUGAGUACCAAUAUAUAUUUUUGUUGUGUAGAAUUCAUUUCAGAUGACCAUAUUUUUCUUCCUUAUUGUCCGAGUUUAAAACUGUAAUUUGUUCAAGUAUAUGAUUAUUUUUGUUUUAGUACCGUUUUAAACAUUAAUUUUUUUUUCGAACAUGGAUAAUUGAAAACUUUGACUUGCUAUUUAGUGUUCUUUGAAAUGGAAUUGAUUUGUAAUUCCUUUCAUAGUUUACAUUUACAAAUUCUGUAAGGAGGUAAAUAUCCACUCCCUACAUCUCCUCUUGUUUGCUAAUGGUCAUUUAACUGUCAUAGGAGUUCAGAAUUUAGUGUUUUAUAAUUAAGUAAGAGUCUUGUGAACACUGUGAUAAUUAGACAAAUGUGUAAAAAGAGAAUAAGAUAUUUGUAUUUACCCUAGUUAUGGCUGAAAGCUGGGUGUAAUUUGUGAUGAUGGCUUGAUGUAAACUUUAGUGGAGGGCUGUGUCAAACUUUCUGAAAUGAAAGUAUGGAAUAGGAUGUAUUAGUAAUUUAGAUAUACAGUAGAGAUGAGUGAAGCACUUCAGAUGGGUAGUAUGAUUAAAUGUUUUAUCUAGGUUAUGGAGCCAGUUGAUUUACACUGUGAUGCAUAGCACCUCUAUAUUGAUAAGCCAGCUGGUUUAGGGAGUUGUAGAAGGUUACGGAGUUCUUCCACUAGUCCGUCAGCUGCUACAGGUGAUAUGAUAGAUUAUGAUAGCUAGAUUCUGUGAUACAUUAAAUCUGGAUCCAGAAACAAAGUGAUGGUCAUUCUGUGAUGAUGCAGGUACAGCCAAGCCUCACCAGUUCCUUAGAGUCAGGGCCACUGGUUUAUUACUUAUAUUACAAUAUACACAAGAUAUAAGAUAUCAGGGAUACCGUCAAAAGAGAAUGUCGAUAUUAAUACUAAUGUGACAUCUGAAUAUUACAAUUCGAUAAAAGUGGUAUGUGUGUAGUUUCAUUAUAUGUCCAUGAAUUCUGUAUACAAGUGAAAUAGUCAUUUGUUAGUGGAUUGAUCCAGGUAGAUGGGGUCAGCAGUAUUAGCUGUGUGUAGGUAGGAGGGAAUGAGUAUAAGACUAUCGAAUGGAGUGUGAGUUACAUUGAUACACAUGUUAUUACAACAGGUUGUCUGUGUGUAACCAAGUAUGUGGAAAAUUGUGGCAUUUUAUAAAUGGUCAGUCUUUGUUCACUGAGGUUGACCUAAUCCUUUAUGCCCCCCCCCCCCAUUUUAUAGACACUUGUGAAUGAACAAUUUCUUUUCACUGUUUGAUAAAUUGUGCAUGCUGUAUAUCUGUAAUAAAAAGACAUUUGCACAUGGGUGUAUACAUUUACAAAUCGAUGAAAUCAUGAUUUCAUUCAAAUAUUUGCACAUAUUGUGUUGAAACAAUUUUGUUGUAGCAUGUGUCAGUGUAAGUACAUGUAUAUGGUAUUUAAACCGUACACUUGUGCCCUUUGCAUACAAGUUUUGAAAUGUUGAUAAACAGAUGUGUGUGUCUCUAUUGUUUAACCAUUUGUAUAAGCAUUGACAUAUUUGUACAGGUAUUAUAGCUGUUAACAGUAUUUUGGAGUGGGGCCUGACUUUUGUAAACAGGCACCUGUCUUUUGCUAGGCGACUGUGUGCUACAUAAGAGUAAUAAUGGAUGUUGUAGAAAGAAAUUAUGUUACUGAUCAGGACUCUUGUUUGAUUCAGACAAUAAAUGGAAUGCAGAUUCAUUUAUUGUUCUACCUCAUUUGAUUAGCUCUUCUCUUCUGUUCUAUUUGUAGCAUAUGAAGAAUUGGUUGUAUUGUUAAAUUAUUUUUCUUGCGUUUUGAAAACAAUUACAAUUAAUUACCAUUUGGACAAAUAAAUCUCCUGAGCUCUUCAUGGGAGGCACAGAUAUGUUUAUAGAAAUUAUUACUGAUAUAAACUGGUCAUACAUUGUUCUGUAUGUUAAUACCUAUGAAGGUAUAUAUAACACUUUGGAUUGUCUCACUGUUAUUGUUUGAAAAAUAGGACCUUGAAUUUCUUGUUUUUAUAACACUGUUAUUGCAAUAAAGUACUUUAAAGUAAA